rnacentral:tRNA from 1 species
GAGGGUAUAGCUCAAGUGGCAGAGUGCAUGCUUAGCAUGCAUCAGGUCCUGGGUUCAAUCCCCAGUACCUCCU